CUUCGGUCAGUUAAGCGAGAUGGUACCUUUCCAAAGCUGCUUGGUGAUUCCAAUGGCGAGCUCUUCACAUCUACUUCUCGGGUAAGGAAAAAGAAAAUAACUUUAUAUGCAUUUAACAAGCAUUGGCUCAUAUUCUAAAUCUAUGGGCUCUGUGAACAAAAUCAUAUGUGAGAGGAACAAGGAUUUGAUGAGGAAGAUGAGUUGUUGAUGAUGGUACAGGGUUCGGAGUUAGGAUGGAGGCCCGAAAAUCUUGUGAUCACUUGGGUUCGCUGUCCUCCGAUCUCUCUGACAUCCCAACUCUUAAUAAUCCCUGCAACAGGUUUGAUUUUCAUCUCCCUCUCCCUGUGUUCCGCUUCAAAACUUGAAUUCCAGUCACAACUUCACAACUUCCAGUUCCAGCUUCAAAGGAAUUUAAUUGAAAAGAUACUUAGGCUUUGUUUGCUGUAAUAGAUUGACCCAUUAAUGUUAUUUUAUGGAAUUGCUAUUGUAUAUUUAAAAUUUGAAUCAUAUUUGUUGUGGUGGAAAUGGAACCAAGCAAAACCUCAAAUUUCUUGUAUUUUCUAAUCCAUGGAACAAUUGUUUACUUUCUUAGGUGCCACCAUCCCGGUGAAAAUUGGCUGUGCUUGUCAUGUAAGGAGGUUCUUUGCAGCCGUUUUGUGAAUAAGCAUAUGUUGCGACAUUAUCGUCAAAUGAAUCAUUGUGUGGUUCUCAGCUAUAGGUACUCAUUGACAAUUGUUUUCACAAUUCAAUUGCGUUCUUCUUUUAAAAUUCAUCAUCUUCAGGAUACCAAAUUAGGGUUUUUCUUUUGACUUCUUGUUUAAUUUUGAAAACAGUGACCUGUCAGUCUGGUGUUUUGCCUGUGAUGCAUAUUUAGAUGCCCAGGUGAUUAUGCAGUUGAGGCCUGUGUACGAGACCGCAUACAUCCUGAAAUAUGGCGAGGCACCUCCUUUUCGGACAGUUGAGCUUCCAAAAGAUAGCACAUCAUCUAAUAAUUAGCUUUAUCUGUGCUAGUUGGGGUUUGCUCAUGGUUAAUUGUAGUUGAAAGCCAUCGAUAAUGCCUAAACUCUUUCCUAAAAAACAGGGGGGAAAAGAAAGAAGCUCUAUCACAGAACUGGAGCUGGUUUUGGUUGUCCACUUAUAUGUAUGUAUGUGUGUUUGUGUGUGCAGGUUGGGAGCUGCCAAGGCUGAAUUAGGAUUAAUUCAUGUUACUAACAAGUUCAAUCCAAGAUAUGAAAGCCGAAGCUUUGAUUAUAUCAUAAUCCAGUGUACAUGAUUAUCUACUUUAUGAAUGAGUUGAUUUUUCUGCCUUGUGGCAAUCCAUUGAAAUUUAUGUAAAAACUGCGCAUGAUAGUUGUUUCUGUCCUAAGGCCUGCUUGCCAGCUGAGAGAUCAGAAGGAAGUUGAUAAUUAUUUUUAUGCUUCAUUUUCCCUUUAUUUUUGUUUGGUACAAUGGGCUCCGACUGAGAUUUGAACUCGAGACCUUACAAUUCUGAAAAUGAUUUCAAUGCCAUUAAACUAAAGCUCAUAUCUCCAAUGGCAUUUUUGUCAUGCUGUGAGAUCUUCCCACCUUGAAUUCAAUGUCUUGUAACGCUUUGUGGCGAAGAAAGGACUCAUAAAAGUGAACAAUUUUCUUUUCUUGCCAAGACAGCUAAGUUUCUUCCGUAUCCUUAUUUUCUUUUUCCUUGAAGAAAAUAGAGAUUUUACUUUGAGCACCAAAGUUGCAGUCUGCACAAGAUUUUCUAGGUGAAGGAAUCCUUCGGUGGCUGGUGCAUAGAUGGAAGAAUGUAUGACAGUUACACUUCUUAUUAUCUAUGGACAUUACACUUCUUAUUAUCG
rnacentral:misc_RNA from 1 species